GGCUCAUUGGCUGUGGUCUGGCUGCUGUGUGGCCCCAGUCUGCCUUUCUGCUUCCUGAUCCGAAAGCACAUGAACAUGGUGCCGCCUCUCUGGACUAAGCCCCUCAGCUGCCAUGAAGCUAACUGUGAGCUAAGGGUGCCUGGGCUGCUGUGGAGGGCCGGAUAUCGAGCUGAGGAGGUGGUAUCUUCACCUGCCUGAUGCCUGCACCUGGAGGCUUGAUUGGCACAUCCCACAAGGCCUGUGUCUAGAAACUGGCUUCCCACAGGUGGGGCUUCCUCAGAAGAAGUAUCCAGAACAGGCAGCCAGAGGACGGGUGAGCCAUCUAAGAGAAGCAGCUGAGCUGUCCGGCUUUUUGUGACUUGGCCACCGUCUCCUUUCUGCUACACCAGUCAGUGUCGAGCAGAGUCACAGAGCGCAAGCUGGAAAAUAGAGGACUCAGUGUCGCCUCUUGAUGUGUCAGAGAGGCAACAGACUGGUAGCUGUGUGCCCUUCACCCCUCCACCCUACCCAAGCCUCAGCCAGAGCCAGAGCAGCUUUGAAAGUCCUGUCUGUUCAUUUCCACCUCAGGCAAAGUUAGUACUAUGCCAAGUGGCAUAGGAAGGUCUUUUGGCUCCAGAUCAUGGGCUCACACACCGGAAACAUCAGUUCUGGACUGUAGGCACGGAGAGAGAGCAGCAGCCGAUGACUGGGUAGUCCUCUCCAAAAGUCCUGACAAAGUCUGUGACCUGGACCUAGCCAUCCAUUUCAACAUUCGUUUGAAAUACUAGAAAGUGGUCUCAGGCACAUUGGAGUCACGUUCCUAGUGGAAGGGUUGGCAGCUGAUUUUCAUCAGCCCCCAAGGUAGGUGGGAUGCAUGGCCUCCCUGGGCUGCUUCUCUGGCAGGAGAGUGGAAACUAGGAUCAGGUACAAGGAAGGACACUGAACUGCACAAGAGCUACUGAAUCUAACAAAAUCUAGCCUUAUCCAUUUUCUAGAAUAGCUUCACACCUAAUAACUAGCCCAUGCAGGACAAGUACCAGGAAGAGAUGGCCUUCAUUCCAUCCUUCGUAUAGCAGAGGACCAAGGCUGGAAUUCAAAGCCAGUCAAGCAAGCUCUGAGCCUCUGUGCUAGUGCCUGGUAAACUCAAAGAAAGAAGCUCUCAUCUGUCUUCCAGGACAACGUCUCUCGGCAGGGGUGGAACUCAGUGGUUGUGGGGGUGGGAGGGCAUUGUUAUUGACUCUGUUCCAUCUUGACUUAAGGUCAGAGAGUUCAAACCUAUUCUUGCUCCUCAAGGUUAAACAACAGGAUAUUUGGCCCAAGGUCUGGAUAUUGGAUGCCUUGACCUCAAGACCAAAUUACAGGAUGUUUGACUUAGGGCAUGGUUAGCAGAUGCUUUGAGUGUUAAGGAGGUAAUUAAAUUUGUUUGUUCCUUGUAUCAUUGUUAGGAAGUCUCUUGCCCUCUCCUUUUGCUUGGGGUAUAUAAGGACUACCAGUAAUAAACUUGGGGCGUUGGCAGUAUUCACUGAGUGCCCUCCUGACUCUA